rnacentral:lncRNA from 1 species
CCCACUCACCCUCUUACAACCUGGAGCCUUCCCUCCACCCACAAGGUCUUUUAUUCUUUGGCAUUUUGUUCAUUCUGUCACAAGGUCUUCUUGUCCUACCCCUGGGCUGGCUUCUCAAUCCCUUCCCUCUGCUUUAGGAAGCUGUCUCAUGCUGAUCUGCUUGUUUUGGUCUUGGGGGCUAAAUGUGUAUGUGGUGGAAACUCGUCUUGGUAUUUAUCCCAGUGCCUGGUACAGUGUGAGUUAAUGAACAUGUAUGUCCUGAAGAAAACUACCACCACUACCACCAACCUUCUCGCCUUUCCCUGCUGUGUCCCCUUACUACAGUGUUCCUGGAUCUGUCCACGGUGCUGAAUGUCUUUAUCCUUCUUGCCACUGCCUGCCUCAGAAUGGCUACUUCUAGAAGGUAAGAAUCAUUUCUGUGUCCUAGAAUUAAAUCUCUCAAUCAAUGCCCACCUCUGUCUCCGUCCCUCCCUCUCCUUCCUUCCCUGUCUUCCUCUCCUUACCUCUGUCCCUCCUCUCUCCAUCUCCUCCUCCCUGCCUUCCCCCAUCGUUCAUACAGAUCAUUAGGCUGUAGUAUUUAAUGAAAACUAAUAUGUGGUGAUGUAUACUAAUUAGGAUUAGGUUAAGUGGUAUGCAUCAGAAUGCCCAAAAACAAGGGUCUUUUAUUUUUUUUUUCUAAUGUUUAUUUAUUUAUUUUGAGAGAGAGAGAGAGAGUGAGCUGCAGGAGGGGCAGAGGGAGAGGAGAGAGAAAAUACAAGCAGGCUCCCUGCUGAAAGCAUAGAGCCCAACUCAGGGCUUGAUCCCAUGAACCCUGAGAUCAUGACCUGAGCUGAAAUCAGGAGUUGGAUGCCCAACUGACUGAACCACCCAGGCACCCCUGAAAGUUGAAAAACAAGGGUCUUUUAAAGGAUAAAAAAAAUAAAAGUUCAUUUUUCAUUAAAAAAAAAAGUCCAGAUGUAGACAGUCCAGAGUCUGAAUGGUUUCUCCACAUUCAUGAGAACCAACACUCCUUCUAGCCCCCCACUCUGCCUUCCCUAGGGUAUAGUCCUCAUUCUUUGGUACAAAAUGGCUGCUAGAGCACCAGCCAUCACAUCAGAUACCAAGUGGAGACAGAAGGUAAAUAAGGGGGCCACUUCCCUUACUUUUAUCCAGCACUUUCACUUAUAUGGCCACAUGUAACUAGCUUCAAAGAGCAUGGUAAAUAAGUCCUUUAACUUGGAGGCAAUGUGCCCAGCAAAAGGUUAUAGUCAUUACUAUUGAAAACGAAGGAAAAAUAGCUAUUAAAAAGUAACUGGGUAUCUCUGACAGUGGUAUUGAUGGCGACAGUGACUGUGGCAUCCUAGUUGUAGUGUUGACGGUGGUAAUGCAACGGUAAUGGUGGUGGUAAUGGUAGUAGAAGGGGUGAUAAUGGUGAUGGCGGUCAUGAUAAUAGUGAUGGUGAUGAACAAAGAGAUAAUGGUGAGAAUGGUGAUAAUAAAGCUGGUGGCCAAUAUAAGCUUUGGUCCAGGAACACAGACUCACUCAAGCAUCAGCCUGGCCCAGGAGAAUACCAGAAGUUGGACCCAAGAGACUGCAAGGCAUCUGGAGCUUGGAGUCUGCUCCAAGCCACAGGGGCACUGCUACUUUUCAGUGCAUCAGCCAUGAGCCUCUUGCCUUCUUAAGGCCAAGUCACCCCCGAGCAAAGCAUGAAUCAGAUUCCUCCCAUUUAGGCUGGAAAUAACUCUGGAAUGAAAACUUAAGGCCUCAGGGAAAUGAAGCAGCAAGAGUGAUACUGGACUUCCAUUUAUUAGACAAUAAACACUGAUGGAAUUUGUUGUUGCAGUCAGAGUUGGCUUUGCUGUGAAGUACACAGGGAAACACGUGGAUAUGUAGUCUCAAAAACAGGAAUAAAUGGUUCCAAGGACAGACAUACAGAGAGAGUUACAGAUUUGCAGAAAGAAACAGCCCAUAGUCCUGGAGAUGCACAGACACAUUUAGUAUCCUAAGGAGGCACGAGGCCGACCCCUCUCCCCAGAGACACAGGCUGUCCAGCCAUCUUAUUCCAUGGGACAACUUUCAUUUUACCCCUGGGUCCCUUGCACUGAAGGUACCAGGGACCAGAAGUGACCUUGAUGAGGGGGCUCAGAGCUCAGCAGCCAAUCAGAGAAGGAAACAGUGUGACCUUUGAUACCCAUCCCACCUGCAGUGAGGUUGCGCCGGUGUUCCACGGCCUGCCCCAGGCCGGCCCAGGUUCUGUGGCUGAAGGUGACCAGAGCAGUGGGACUUGGGUUGGAGGGGGUGUGUCCUCCAGGAUGUCUCCCCCAGGGGCCCAAGGACACACCUGGAAGCCAUUAGCAGAGGAGCCAUCAGGCAGCAGGCUCUGGCUCCAGGUGAGAAGGCGUGAUGAAAACAUGUGGCAGCUUCCUGCCCGCUGGAGAUGGAGGGUGGAGGACACCUUGGCCUGAGUAAUUCCAGCAUCACUCCCCUGGCACCCACCUAGAACGUAAAGGUCACCACAGGCUUUGGUUCUCAAGACGGUUGGUGAGCCCACCUCCUGAACCUUUGACACCAUAUUUCUUGACCAUUCACGGUGACCCUUCUCUUCUAGGAAGCCUUCCUAAUGACUCCUCUGCCUCCUUUGUCUCUUUCUCUGCUUCUGCUCAGGGCUCCUCCAUGACAUCCCCCUGACCUGCCUACCCUUUCCACUGAUGUGUGAUUCCUUAUAAGUGGCACCCCUGCCUGGCUGUAGCUACUGUGGCUCUUCUCCUCUCCGUCCACUGGGAGCAGCUUUACUUCACCGUGGUUUCCGUUGUUUCUUAGUAAUUGAAGAUGUUCAGGUCCUACCUUAGGUCUUGGCCCCAUUUGCUGCUAAUCCCUGGCCCUGGGACUCCUGACUCACUCAUUUCCCAUCUCUGGUGUGCUGGAGCUCCCAGCUCAUGAAGGAGCCUGCAGAGAGCCCUGCUCUUUGCAGUUAGACCAUCUAUUACCACGAGACUGGGCCCCCAAAACUGGAGGUUCUUGCCACCCCAGAGCCGCUUCUGCCUUUCUAGUCUUACGUUGGUCUUUUAUCAGGAUGGUCUAGUGCUGGUUUCCCCCAGUAGGUCAGGUUCUAAGUCCCUAGAUUUCCCUAGCUGUGUCCCAAAAUGAUAGAGAAAGUGUUCAGCUUCAGGUGCACUGGGUAGCUUCCCCCAGCUCUAUAAAGGCACAAUAUCCCUGGGGAUCUUUAGGAGCUCGUCACUCUCUGGAAGUCUGUGGGUGGGCAGGAAGACCUUGAAAGCUGGCCAGAACACUGAUUGCUGGACGCCCCACAUAUUCCUGGACUUAAGACAGGAACCUCAGGACAGAUGGGUGGACAGCAGCCUGCAGAGUUCCCUGUUGGGCCAACCCCAAAGUCUGUGCCUCAGCAGCUCCCAUGACACACCCAGGAUAAAUAGCUCUCACCCCUCCUUAGUGCAUUGCCUGCCUAUGGUGGGGGCUUCAGCUUGGCUCUGCCAGUAUGUCCCCAGCACUGCCCUGGGAAAGGAAAAAAGAAGCCAGUUGGAAGUUCAGAAAAGGAAAGGCUAAAAAGGAGCCCACAAUCGGCCCUAAUUAGCCACUGGGAGAGUGAAAAGGAGGUCAGAGGCCUGAGUCUACUUCUGAAAGAAAGCACCUGGCAGGCAGAGGCAUGGCUGGUCUGUACCCCCACACUACACAGCACGGGGCUUGGCCCCACGCAAGCCCAUCCGACCCUGGCUCUUAGGACCCCCAGCUGGGGAAGGUCUCGACAUCUACACACCUACCCGUAGAACUGUCAUGGCCCACUCCUCUGAAAGAAGCAGCUGGCUAUGGGGAAAGAGGGAGGGAGAUGGGAGGGAGGGAGGGAGGGAAGGCAGUCAGACGUGAGUGAGCAUCCACUGUAUGCAGUGCGCUGAGUUGAGAGGUUUACAUACAUGAUUGUAUUUAAUUUUCACAGUGGUCCUGAAAUGGAGGUACUUUGGCCUCAAGUUUUAAAUAAAGAAGUGGACCCUCAGGUUAAGUAGUUGACCCAAGAUCACACAGCUUAAAAGGGGCCGAGUGGAGAGUCCAGCUUAGGCCUGUGCUCGGCAGCCUGUGCUCUUGGUGCUAUAAAAUGAGUGCUUGGAGGGCAGAGCCCUCGCCUGCAUCAUCUCCUGUGCCCCAGUGCUCGGCCCGGGGAGGGGCAGGCACGUGGCAAGUGCAGAGAAGAGCUGUUGUACUCAACAGGCAGGACAGGCUGAACCAGGGAAGGACAUAAAAAGGCGGGGAGGGAGGGAUAUUGGAGGCAGUACAGAGACAGAUCACUUCCAUCCCCUGGGACAUCAUGCAGGGGACCCCUGGGGCAGCUUUCCUGGGGCUGAGGACAGUGCCGGACUGAACACAGCUUGUGCCUGGCCGUGGGGGAGGCAGGGGAGGAAGAAGUGAGGGAACAGUGCAUUUCUCUCUCCCUCUUUGCCACUCCUCCUACCCUCCCGCCCACCCCAGAUGGUUAAGCUGAAGCAGAAAACAAAAUGAAGAACCUUUAGCCCCUGCUGGAGCCAAGCCACCUCUGCUUAGCUCGGGCAGAUCACCAGCAGACCAGCUGGGCCAGGGCCAGGCUGUGGUCCAGAGCGGGCUGGGGGGCAUUGAGGAGAGGAUACACUAGGCCUCAGGGCAGGGCCACUGUGGGCACAGCACCUUUCCAUGCAGGCUGAAUGUUCUGGCAGCGGCUGAAUGUUCCUAAAAAGGAGAGGGGCAGCAGGAUGGGGAGAGGGAAGAGGACCCUCCUUUGGCCCCGCCUGUGAGCACCCCAGCAGUAACUGGGGAGUAGGAGAGAACACAUUUUGGGUGAGGCAGACUUUACAUAGCUACUGUCUUUACAGCUUUACAUCCUCAAAGGUAGUGACUCUCAGUCCUGAUUUUAAAGAUGAGGAAACUGAGGCCCAGAGAGGGUAAGUAACUUGUCCAAGGCCACAGCGUGAGUAGGAGGAGGGCUGAGAUUCCACCCCCAGCCGUUUGGCUCCAGGCCUGCUUUUAAUCAUCAUCAUCUCCUGAGAGGAACAGCAGAAGCUUGCCUGUCUGCACCCACCAGCAAUUAGGGGCCCCUCGGUAUUGUGAAAAAUGUCAGUGGAGUGUGUCUGAUUAGGCUCAUCAGUGCCCAGCAUGGGACACAUGUGUUUUUAAGAUGGAUCACCAUUAUCCUUGGCUGAAGAAUUGCGUGGGGUUUUCUAAUUACAAAUUAUUCCUGCUGGAUUUCAUUAUGCUCCCUCUUGUCUGGCUUUUUAUGUUCUCCAUCUUACAAAACUUUGAAAAUCAUAGUUGGCUAAGCUUAUUUUCUUGGUCUUAAAAUAUACAGCUAAGCUUUUAUUAAGGCACAAUGUUGUUAUAUUUUUAACAAGUGAAUGUUUGACUCAAUAUUACAAGAAGGCAGCGAUUAUUUGAAAUUCACCAUUCUACAUUUAUAACAAGUCGAAAGAGCAGGAUGGAAAUUUACCUUCCUGUAGAAAACCUUCAUUCAUUUGGAAGGCAGAUUUCCACCUCCCUGUGGUAGAGGGAGGUUCUCAUUUAAGUGUUUUGCACUGCUUUCAGCCAACGGCCAACUGUUGUAGGCAAGUGGCCUGUGUUAGAUCAUUUCUAAGUGAGACUUUUCACUGAAGACUAAAAAUUCUUCAGACUUAACAGCAUUAACAAAGACAGAAAAAGAAUGGCUUGUAUCAUUGAAAAAAGAAGACGAAAAUGCAGUGCUCACCAGGACCCAGCAGAAGUUUACUUAAAGGAAGUCAGGCUAAUCUCCCCUCUCUCCUCCUUUGGGAGACCCUGAAUGAUGAAUCAGGGGUCUGUCAAAGUCCUAAGAAUCUUGGUUUCAAAAAGGCAUUUGGGACAUCUCCUAAGGUGUUUUUAUGGCAAGACAAGGGGCGGGAUCAAAUAGUGAUACUCUAGGGGAAUCCCUAGCUGCCUGGACAGCUGGUGGAGGAAAAUUGAUUAGUGGAUCAAUGGCAGUCUGGAGGGCAGACUGUAGCCCUGCCCGUGGCUUAGUCUUCCGUGCUGACAUGCUUGGUCUGAUGUAUUUUUGAAGGACUUAGAUGAAACCAAAUAAAACGUGUAUCAGAUCUGCAGGCAGAAGGGUGACGAUGUCAGGUGGCAGGACUGGGUUUCAAAAUGAUUUGGAUUGACUUGAUAUGUAGGUGACAGCCAUAGGUUCAAGUUCAUGGAAGUAAAUGCUAGGUUCCUAUUAGGGCUCAAAGGUUGGGGUGGGGAGAGGAAAAGGAAUUAUUGAGCACAUACUGUGCUCACAUACUGUGCCAUAACUUUUGCAUAAGGUAGCUCACUUAGUUAUGAAAACUCUCGAAGGAGGACAUUGCUCUCAUUUUUUUAAACAUUUCUUAAGUUUAUUUAUUUUGAGAGUGAGAGAGUGUGAGAGUGCCACCAGGAGAGGGACAGAAAGAGAGAGAAUCCCAAGCAGGCUCCAUGCUGUCAGCGCAGAGCCUGAUGUGGGCCUUGAACUCAGGAACUGGGAGAUCAUGGCCUGAGCCGAAGUUAAGAAUCCAAUGCUUAACCGACUGAGCCACCCAGGUGCCUCCGUUCUCGUUUUAUAGGGGAAGAAACUGAGGCCCCGAGAGGUUGAGCGUUUGCUUGAGGUCACAGCUAAUAAGCAGAGGAGCUGAGGCUGGUCAGACUCACAGGCCCACCUUCUCACAAAAUGUCAAAGACAAAGGAGACAGAGCUUAAUGGCAAUUAUGUGCAAAGAAAAGAAAAACACACGUUUAUGUGAUGUUAGUCCCAUAUUGUAAUGCUGAGCCUUUUCUGAGCCUCUCUUUUGGGGCCACCCUGGACCUGGGCUUGGGGCGCAGAGGGAAAAACAUGUCCCUCCUAAGCAAGUAGAGCUGUUAGGGGAGGAGAACCCAACACAACAACAGGCAAAUUGGUAGCGCCGGGUGUCUUCCAUGCCACGGGAGCCCUGGGAAAACGGGACUCCUGCUUCAGGGAGUCCUGGCACACUGCACAGAGGAGGCAGUACCUGGCCUGAGGCCUGAGGAUGACUGGCUUGUCUGGGAGCCCAGGGAGCACAUGGCUUGCAGGUCCAGAUGGAGUGUACCAGUCUGGGCACUUCAUUUCUUUCAUCCUUCAGCUCUGAGCCCCACUGUAAGGCCCAGGAAGAAUCUGGGCUGAGGAGAUGGGGAGGUUUGCCCAUUCUCCACCCCCAGCUCCCAGACCAGGAAUGGAAGAAGAGAGCAGGAGGGGAGCGGGAGAUCUGGAAGGCAUCUGGGAGCCAGAGUCAGGGCUUUCCCUCUGGGAACACUGGGAGGUUCUGGGACCUUGGGCUCCAAACCUGCCGGUUACUUUGUAACCAUAGGCUAUCUCCACAGCUGUUCCUUCAAGGGCCAGAGAUUGGUGCUCAGGGCCAGGGAACAUGCAAAGAACAGAUGUCCUGGGUGUCAUUUGGAAGAGAAAAGGAGGGCAACCCAAGUCUUUGAACCCAUGGGGCAUCCAUGUGAAUAGCACGUGCAGAGGCCUGAGGUCAGGGGACAAGGCUUGAUGGGCCAGAGAUGGGAGGGCAGGAGAUGGAGGAGGGGGGUUGCUGAGAUACAGUUGGCGAGGUCUGCAAAGGCCAGGCCUUGCAGAUCUUGUCAAGAUUUUAACCUUUAUCCCAAAGGCAAGGAGAAGCCACUGAAGGCUUUUAAGCGGAGAGGUGAUCUUUCAGGAUCUUUCAGGAUCUUUCCUUUCAGGGGCUGACUGCAAGAAGACAAAUGAGGUGCCUGGGGUACAGGUGGGUGACAAUAGCACUGGAGCUGGGUGGUAGUGUGGAGGCGGGAGGGGUGGUAGGCUUGUCACUCGGGGCCUGGUGACCAGAUAGUGAGGCAGAGGAGGGAUGGCUCCAGGAUGUCUGGCCUGUGGAUGAUGGGACCAUCCAUUGUGAGCAGAAAGACCAGGAAAGGGGUGGGCAGAGAGCGUGAAUUCGGCCUUGGUGCUGAGGAAUUAGAGAUACUGAGGUAUCCAAGUGGAGAUGUUGAAUGGACAGUGGGAUAUUUGUCUGGAGUUCAGGAGCUGUGUCAGGGCUGGAAAUGCAAAGCUGGCGUUGUCAGUAUUUAGGUGGAAUUGAAGCUGCCUGCUUACUGAGAGCCCCCAUGGGUCCGUUGUCUGCUCUGAGAGGCAGACCCCCCCACCCAACCCUGCCCCAAAGCUAGCUCAGGACUGCCUCUGGGCUUCCACCGCUUUUCCCUGCAGCGUUUGGUCGUGUCUGUCUCCCCACUUCAAUGGCAAGCUCCAUGAGGGCAGGAACCAGAUGUAUCUCUGCAUCCCCAUCAGCACAGAUCCUGGCAUAGAGGAGGCAUCAGUGGCAAUUUGAUAGUUGAUGCAUGAAGCAGCUCUCAGAGGAAUAGGCUGCCAUAGAAGGGAAUGAGUUUCCUGCCCCAGAAGGCACAUGAGCAGGGGUUCUAUGGGGCUGUGGGGAGUAAGGGAGAUUCCUAUACCCAGCAGGUGUCCUCUGGGGACCCUCUCUGCCCUGGAUUCUAGCUUCCCAGGACCUGAGUCAUUUCCCCUAGGGAGUAAGGAGUGUCAUUUCCUCUUAUCCCUGAGUCCAGAGUUUGGGCUGGGACUCUCUGUGGUUUCCUCCUCCUCUGGAGAGGUUUCUGGAGGCUGUGCUGACCUCAGCAGGUGCUCCCCUCCCCCACGAGCCUCUCAAAUCUGGAGCUCCACCCAAGCGUAGAUGCCUUGCUGGGGUUUGCAGAAGCUGCUGAGGUAGCUUUGGCCUCGGCUGCUAGAACUGGCCGCCUGCCCUGCCCAGGCUCCUCGACCUCAGCCUUGGCCUGAGCCCUCCUCCCUCCCUAGCCACCUCUGCUCUACCCCACUGCAUUCUUUGCUGCAGCAGCUUGGUCACUGCAAGAGCCAGAGUGGGUCUUAGCCUGGAGAUCCUGGGAGCUUUAUAGGAAGGAGGCAUACCUGGAACCUGGAGGAAAGGGAACAGAUUAGUUAAGAAGCUGGGAAGGGAGUGGGAAGGGGAGGGGUCUGGAAAGGGGCUAAGGAGGCACAGAAUGUCUCCAUUGCUUUGGAGCACCUUCAAGAGUAUCUGGCUCCCUCAUGUGGCUCCCUCAUUUCUCAGAGAGAAACUGAGGUGCAGGGGAGGCAGGUGGAAAGACUCCUCGUGGGGGAGAUUGGAGUGGAGGAUGCAUCGGGCAUAAGGAAGCUCCAUAUGAUUGGGGAGGUGGAGAAGGAGAGGGAGCAGAGGGCCCUGGAGGCCAGGGAAGGCCAUGGUAGUUGACUGUUCCACCUGGAGUAGGUGUUGGAAAGGUAUGGGAGUCCUGGGACAGAACUUUCUGGAGUCAAGGCUGGCUGAGACUGAUUUCCUCCUGUAUGAGAAUCAGCCCCGCUCUCCUGUCUUUUCUUCCCAUCUCACUGGGAACUUCUGUAAAAUAAGGACCCCCUCUUCCAUCUGAUUGAGACAUUCCUAAGGUAGGGAAUAGUCUGGAGGCUCCCUGAGAUUGGAGGACUGCCUCCCUCACCAGACUGGGGCCAGGACAGGACUGAACAUCCAUCCUCCGUCCAUCCACAGCACUGGGAGCUGGAGCAGUGCAGGGAAGAGAGGGGACUGGGGGCUUGCCCCUCAGAUACGGAGACGCAGAAGACACCUCAGAGGGGCUUAAAUUUGACACAACUGACCAGCACUGCCCCAUUCAGAGAGGAGAAGGCGAACCUUAAAGCCUGUGAGAUGAGAGAUAAAACCAACAGAGAGAAUUUCAGCUCCGGGGGCUGAGUCCUUACCUUACAGCGUAGCAGGGCCUGAUAAGGUACACGUUGUUAGAAGAGGUGGGAAUGUUGAGUUAUUCCCACCCUGGCUCGGAGCGCUCAGCCUGAGAUAACUGUGGUGACUGUGGUCCAUGCCAGCUGGGCUAGCUCUGGCAGCAGACACUGCAGGGGACUGCCAGGCUGCCCCAGAAAACCCAGAACUACGUUGACUUCCAAACCACUACAGGACAGGACUACAGGAACUUAAAGAACCAAAGCACGGCCUUGCCAUCUCUUUGUUAAUAUAAUUUUAUGCCUGUUUUUUUUCAAAGUUAUUUUGCUUUUUUUCCCAGAGUGUGCUCACUAUAGAAAAUUUGAAAAAUGGAAGGUAAAAAUAAACACACCUAUGAUCCCACUAUCCAGAGACAUUUUUGACAAAUUUCCUUCCCAUCUUUUUUCUAAGCGUAUGUUCUCCAUAAUUGUGUUAACGCUGCUCUAAUCUUUAAAACUUUUACUUUUAUUUUUUUCUUAUGAUUAUUAAGGGAAAGCAUGCUGUUAGUUUAAAUCUUUUUUUAAUGUUUAUUUGCUCUUGAAAGAGAGAGAGAAACAGAGCAUGAGCGGGGGAGGGGCAGAGAGCAAGGGAGACAGAAUCCAAAGCAGGCUCCAGGCUCUGAGCUGUCAGCACAGAGCCCGAUGUGGGGUGAGAUCAUGACCUGAGUCCAAGUCGGACCCUUAACCUACUGAGCCACCCAGGCACCCCUAGCAUGCUCUUAGUUAAAAAAAAAAAAAAGCAUAGGAAAACAUGAAAAAGGAGGAAAAAAAAAACUACUCAAUAAUCCCAUUAUCCCAUCAAUCAUUUUGUGAAGACAUUGGAGUAUUUACUUCUUGACAUUUUUCUGUGCCCCCACAUGUUUUUGUUUUUGUUUUUGUUUUUGUUUUACAUGUUAGGAACCAUAAGUACAGUGAUUGGUUUACAGUUUGGGAGACAGCACGAUGUCUUUAUAACAACAACAAAAACCCACCUGUAUUCAAAUCCUGGCUCUAUCACUCAUUAGCUGAGUGGCUUUGGAAGUUACUUUCACCUCUAAAACCUUAGUUUCCUCAGCUAUCAAAUGAGAUCAACCAUUAUCCAGUUAGAGAAUUGCCUUGCAGAUCUGUGUAUAUAAAACAUCUGGCAAUGCAUCCCAUACUUAGUGAGUCCUCAAUAAAAAUGUAGUGGACACUUGUCACAUUUUUUGCUGCCUAAAACGAAUCCAUUUUUAUAUUUUGAAUGAAUCCCCCAGGAGGUGAAGCCUUUGGGAGCUAGGACCCCACCUUCCAUUUCAAAGCCGAAGGGGUUCAGAUAACUCUCCCACUGUCACCCCCUGGCAGUUUGGCCAGCCAUUCCUGGCUCAGGACUUCGAUGUGACAGUUAGUGAGGCUGGGAGGAAGAUUCAUUAGAAUACAUCUGUGCUCAUGCCAUGCAGCAGUGCAACAUCUGGAGGUGUGCUGUGGAGAUGUUCAAAGGCCAUGCCAGUAGAGGCGUUGGGACCAGCUGUUCCUAUUGUAUGACCUUGGCUGUGAAUUCAGGUGCCCACUCUUUUGAUUCUCCAGCUUUCUCAUCCACUCUGAGAUGCCCAGUGGAACUGCUAAUAAUUUUUUUCUGUUUUGCUUUGUCUGAGUCCAUUGCUGUUGCUUGCGACCACAAAGGUUAGUUCCUAAAUCUUUCAACAGUGAAAUAAAUUUCAGGCACUGGCUUUACCUACCAGCCAAAGUUUUAACGCAGACAAUUCCUGGAUAUGCUAGAAGUGUUGGGCUUACUGCUGGCCCUUUGGACAACAAACAGGGUGAUCCUAGAUCUGUGCCUCACUGCUCAGCCCAGAGCCUGCCUGGAGAGAGGAGUUACUCAGAGCUGCUGAAGGCAAGAAUGAAGGAAAGGAGGGAUUUCUACAUGCCCGCUUCCUACAGGCAGCUUGUGUGUGGUUCACUUGGAUUCCUAAGGCUCCUUGGACCUCCACCUGCUUUAUCCUGUGACUUAAGCAGCCUGAAACCUUUGCAGCUCAUUUUCUUCCCCUCCAGACUUGGGUUUCCCGUAGGAUGGCAUGCUGGAGGUAAAAACCCUGGCUGUGUCCUUCCAGUCCAACCUCCUAAACAUUUCUUAAUCCAUACCUUACCUCCGUCUCCAGGAUAUCAUCUCAGCCCACCCUUAUGGGGCCCUCACUCACCAUUGGGCUGGUCUUCAGGAGGCCAGUUAGGUAUCAGGAGCAGGUCCCCAGGGGCCAGCUCAAAUUUAACCAGUAAGAAUGCUUGCCUGGGUAUCUUAGGCAAGGGGCUGCAGGCAGGCCCAGCCCACAAGUGGAACUCCAGAGAUAUCAGCCAGGCCUGAAUCCCACCUGGAGCCUGGCAUACUGUCAGUGUUCAGGAUUGAACAGAGACUCUGGGAUUAUUGCUUCUGUCCUUUCUUGGCAUGCCAUCGGCAGUGAGACCUGGACCUGGCUAUCUCUCCUGCCUCAUCUCCCCCAUUCCUGCCUUAUGCUGUAGGCUCCAUCCACAUCAACUAGUUCCCUGAGUGUAUGCCAAGCUGUCUCACUGCCGUGCCUUUGUACAUGCUGUUCCCUCUACCCAAGGCCCUCCCUUAACCAGGUCAGCCUGAAGAACUCCCACUAAUCCAUCCUUCUUAUCAGGCACACUGAAUGCAAGUAUUGCCUCCUCUAGGGAGCCUUCUGGAACUGGCCCUGGGAGGCCUCCCUCACUGUGCCCCCUCUGGACCCUGCCCCUGCAGUCCUCUGUUAUACUGCUUGGCACAGAGUGUUGCAGGUAUAUGUCUUCCUCAGAAGGCAACACUUAUGAGGGAACUGGACUUGUUUCUCUCUGUACCUUCAGUGCCUAGCCAGGAUCUGGCACAGAGGGAAAUCCAGGACGUGUUUGUUUCCUUUCUACACACCCCCACUGCCUUGGAGGUAGGAGAUGUGGUGGGAGAGGCUGCAGGACCUUAAAUGCCAGCUAAGGAGAGAGGCGUGGUCAGAUUUUCACUGUUGAAUGAUUCUAGUGGCUGGGACCCCUCUCAUUUGGGGUAAGAAGAGUAAUUUUUCAAUUUGGCUCUCUCUCAGCCCAGAAAACAGGGGGUUAGUUCUCAGCAGGAACACGAAAGAUGGGCCUUUACCUGGGGUCAUCACUCCUUCUUUCCCUGGACCCCCUUGCCCUUUCUGCAUUCACUUUUAACUCUUGAAGUCUCUCCCCAAAGGCCUGGGGUCUAGGACCCACACCCACUACUCAAGGGCCAAGUGCAAACCCCAAUCCCCUGUUAUGUAAGUGAAUUAUCCUCUGUUCCCAACCAGCGCCAGCCAGAUCUCCUCCUCCUAAUUGAUUUAAUCUUCUCAUACCAGAGAGUUGGGCGGGGCUGGGGAGACAGCACUGAUCAGAAGCCAACACGUCAGUGACGUAGGCUCAUUAAUUACAGGGAAUCUAGGUCAUGGAUUGGCUCUGCGUGGCUCUGAUCCUCCCCCUCCCCAGUCAUUUGGGUCUCUGAAAGGACAUUUUCACCUCCUCCUCAUUUCUCAAACCCAGUCCUACAGGGACAGAAAGUUGAGGGUCCCAUAAGCACUACCUUUCUCUCAAAUCUCCCCAAAAUCUCAGCUCUGGCCAGCAUUCCAAUCUGAGCACAGGGCACAGCCUAACAUUUAUUGAGAAAUGAAGAGAUGAACAGAUGAUAUAAUUUGGGGGUGGGAAGAGACCUUGGCGUUGCCUUUUUAAAAAAUUUUUUUAACGUUUAUUCAUUUUUUGAGAGACAAAAGAAAGAGUGUGAGUGGGGGAGGGGCAGAGAAAGAGGGAGACACAGAAUGGGAAGCAGGCUCCAGGCUCUGAGCUGUCAGCAUAGAGCCCGACAUGAGGCCUGAACUCACAGACCAUGAGAUGAUGACCUGAGUCAAAGUCAGAUGCUUAACCGACUGAGCCACCCAGGUGCCCCGGCGUUAUCUUUAUUUACUUUCUACACCAAGCAAAUCUUCACUUUGCAGCUUCUCUGAUAGCGGAUGUCCAGAUCUUACUUGUGUACCCCCAGCGAUGGGGGGCUCACUCCCCUGAGAUAGCCCUUCCCUUGUAUGAUGGCCUUUCUCAAAUGGGGCUGAGACAUCAGCCUUGUGACUUCUGAGACCCAGCUUUGCCUCUGGGGCCACAGGGCCUGCCCCAGAACAGGCAGCCAGAUCCUGAGAUACGGUGAUUGCUCUUCUUCAGGCUGAACACUCCUGGCUCUUUCACUAGUUCUUUAUUUGGUAGACUUUACGUAUUACUCCCCACUGUAUCUCUUCUGUGGACAAGGCAUGGAGAUCAUCAUCUCCCCAGAUGCACAGAGCAGAACAAAGACUUCAGGACAGUGUGAACAGGUCAGGGCAGGACUGUCACCUUUUCUGAUGUUGAUAUUAGAUUUCCAUUGAUAGAGCCUGAAAUUGAUGGAGAUCUUUUGAGGCUGGAUAGCACACUUUUGACUCAGCUUACACACAGAGUCAGCAAAUCCCCAUCAUCAUUUUUUUUUUCUGACAUUAGCAAUGGAAAGUCUCCAUGAAAAUGAUCUUUGUGAUAAUUAGGAACAUCUCCAUGUUUCUUCCCCAUAAUUCUUAACAUCCACCCUGACAUUUCUCAUACAAUCAUGCAAGUAUCCAUCUACCCAUUCACCCACACUACUAUCUAUAUAUUCAUCCAUCCAUUCACCAACCUCACUCUCUGCCUACAUACUGUUCUACUCAGCUGCCCAUAGAUUCAUUCAUGCACUCAUUCACCCGUCCAUCCACCUACCUACAAACCAACUCAUUUACCCAUUUAUACAUUUCUAUCCACCUGUCUGAUCAUCUACUUAACUGUUCAUCCAUCCAUUCACCAUCUACCAAUAUAAACCUCCUAUCCAUCCACACAUCCAUCUCUUCAUCUACUCCCUCUCCCAGUCACUCAUACAUCUAUAUUCAUCAUCCAUCUGUCCAUCCAUCCAGUACUUACUGGGGCUCUAUUAUAUUUUAAAUCUGUGUUGAGCAUUCUGAGUGAUUCAAAACUGAGUAAAAUACAGGUGCUCAUUCUUUGGGAGCAGUUAAAGCAGAUGAUGAUGAUUACUGUAAAACAGGAACAAUGAAAAUGCUUUGGGGAUUCAGAGGAGGGAGAAGUGGUAUCUGGAUAAGGCUAUGGAUAUCUUCUUGCCAGAGUAAACUUUCGGGUUGGGCCUUAGUAGAACAACAGUAUGUGGACAUACAUAAAUGCAUUGGAAGUAAUUCCAAGUAAAAGAAGCAGCAUAUCAAAGAUACAGAGAACAGAAUUCAUGUCUUACUCCUUAUGCCCCAACUAAAGUACCAAAUACAGAGCUGGGCACACUUUAGUAACCUGAUACAUAUGCAGUGAUUCAUAUUGUUCCUUCUCUGACAGGGAUACCCCCAGUAGUUAAUCAAGAGUUUAGUCUUUCUCUUUAAGAGGAUUCUACAGUUGCCUUGCUGGAUGGCCUUGGAGAAGUAACAAAGCCUCUAUGGGAUUCUCUGAGUUUGGGGUUGAAUUUCUGUCUCUAUCAGGUGGUCCUUUCCCCCUAAUUUUAAUUAUUUCUACUAUGUUCUCUGCUCUCUUCAGAGACAUCAGCAUUUCCACAUACCUUAAAUUUUAUUUUCUUUUGUUGGCACCAAUAAUCUCAAUCCCACCCCUCUUCAGCUGCCUCAGCCACAUCCCCAGGCAAGAAAUUCUGUAAUAUGGAGGAAGGGAGAAGUUCUGUGUAAAGGAAAUAGCACUGAAGUAGAAGCCAGGAGUCAUGAAUUCAAAACCAGCUUUGCCACGAGCUUGCUUUGUGACCUUAGGCAAGCCUCUUUCCCUCUGUUUUAAUCCUCCCCAUAGAAUCUAAGCACUGAACAUAGCAUUUGAGAUCCUCUCAUCCAAUAUCCUCAUCUUAUAAAUGGAAAAAACAGGCUCAUAAAGAGCAUGUGACUUGUUCUAGAUCCUAUCUGGAUUAGUGGCAAGGCCAGAACAAACUUAAGAUUUCCUGACUUUUGGCUCAAGGUUUUCUUUACCCAACCACAAUUUUUCAGUCUCCAGUCACAGCCCCUGUAUAUCUCAGGAAGAGCUUCCUCUCCCACUUCCAUUCCCCAGGAAAGAACGUGUAUCUUCCAAAUGUUUUGACUGUGUAUUAUUGACGCAUGCCUGGGUGGGGGCUGGAAAGGCACUAUUUAAGAGCAAGUAUUCCCAGCCUGACGGAGUUAAUUAUGUUCAUCAGGAAGAGAGAAGAGAAAGGAACAAUGCGCUCUGCUUAUCUACUGGGCUUUAAUCAAAUUGAGAAACGAGGAAAUCCAUCACCCAGAGGCUAAGGGAGUUGGAGAGCUUGGCUUCCGCUGGCUCUGAGAACUGUAAUGGGUUGGGCGCUGUCCAAGGUGCUGACAUCUUCACUUACUGCUCUGAGUUGCUAGGAGAGGCAGAGGGACAGCAGCUUUUAGAAGAUGGACCAGGAUAGAGUAAGAAAAGGUCUGGACCUGCUGGGGACAGGCUUGAGUUCCUAUUCUGUCUUCUGAAUCUUCUCUUUUCCAUUUAUUUGUUUAUCAUCUUUAGGAAAAAUAUCUCUUAUGGCUAGAGUCCUCGGCUGGGAUUGAAGAAAUAGGAAGAGAGGGAAGAGCCCUAGACCCUUUGCUGUCAGGGAGAUGGACCCCAGUAUGAGGGUGGAAGCCCUUUCUUGGCCUUGAGGACUUUCCCAUAUUAAAGGGAGAUGUGAGUUAUGCUUUUAUAAAAUCCUCAGUCCAAUGAUAGUUAUGAACUACCUUUGAGAAUUUGUUAAAGUGGUGGAGGAACAUCACUGUGUCUUUAACUCUAACUCAAGUAUGAUAUAAGGGAGGCAUGGACCAUGUCUACAUGGAGCGUCCAGUCUUAUGAGGAAGACCUGGUCUUCCUCUGGAAAAUCUCAGUUCAGCUGAGGAGACAUGUUCUUGAUUUAGAGGGAAACCUCAGUUAUAAUCAGGGAGACAGGAUGGACAGAGACAUUAAAAUGUGCACAAUAACCUACCAAAGAACUCAGAUCUUCACACUUCUGAUUGAGGUUUUUGGUGCUAGAUAUUUUGUGUUAAUAAAGGAAAAUUUGCUGGUAGAGGUGAGCUUGAGCUGAACUUAAAGGAAAGCAAGAGACUUGGGUCUCUAAAUCUUAGGCCUCCUGAGAGUCAUGACCAUGCCAUAUCCCCUUUAGAGUAAGUACAAGUCUUGGCACAGAGCAGAUCCUUGUUCAAUGUAUAAUUUCCAGCAGAUAGAGAGUGAAUGUACUUCCUCAGUGUUUGGGGAGAUAGCAGAGUGAGGAUGGUGUAGAGAUCAAGGAGGAGGGUUGGUUGGAAUGAAGAGCCCGAGGCUAGGGUGGGGGGAUAGUGGUGGAGUGAUAAGAUGGACACAGGGAGUAGCCCAAUGUAUGUCCAGGUCACUGAAGUACAGCAUUUGGAACAACUCCUUCAUAUUUCUGGAGCUUCUGAGAGACACUUUAUUGAAUCUUGGACUGUUAAAACUAGAGACUAUUAAGGUACAAAAUCAUAGACUGCUCAGCUUCUAGAGCCACAUGACCAUGGAUAGUUGGAAUAUUAAAACCGUACCAACUUAGCAGGGCAGAACACAGUGUGUUGAAGUUAUAGAAAUACUAUAGAAUACUAGAGCCAAAGAACCAAAAGUCCAUAUUAGGGAAUAUUAAAAUCCAAGAAUCUCAGUGUCAAAAGGGAAAAGAAACCCCAGUUUAUCGACUCCGACUAUUUGUAUCAGUUAUGGUGCUGAGAGUAUUCUAGUAUAUUUUCCCAUUUAAUUUCUAUUAUAAGGUUUAAGCCAUUUAUUCCCAUACCUACUCAAUGGAGUACUUCUGUCAAAAGUUUAUCAAACAUAUACUUGCAUAAGUUUCAUGACAGGGGAGUCAUUAUCUGUGUGCAUACCUCUACUCCCUGCUGAAUGGCAGAUAGAAAGUUCUCUCUUAUGUAAGCUGCACUCUCUUCCUGUAGUGUCCCCACAUUGGUCCAGUUCACGUCCUCUGAGCUACACUGAGAAAGUCUAAUCUCCCACUCACAUGACAGCUUUUCAUAUGGCUAAAGACAGUCUUUAUUUCUUUCUUCUCUAGGAUAAGCUGGUUUGUUCAUCAUGUAGCUAGAAAUGGGACAGCAAAUCAAAGAAUAUCUGAGCUGGAAAGGCCCUUAGAGGUCAUUUUGUCCAGAGACUUCCUUUUACUGCUGGGUGGUACAGCAUCAUGGUCAGGAGCCUGGGUUUUAGAGAGAGAUGAGCCUGAAUUCAGAAUCCAGAGAUCCAGCACUAAUUUCAUGUGUAACCUUGGGUAAAUUACAUAAUAUGUCUGGAUCUCAGUCUCCUUAUCCAUAAAAUAGAGAGAAUAAUAAUAUUGACACACUAUAGUUGAUGUGAGCAUUGAAUGAGAUAAUGCAAGGGAAGCUCUUAGCGGAGUGCUUGGCACAGAGUAAGCAGUCAAUAAAUAUUAGCUAUAAUUAUUGGAGGUCCAGAGGGGCAGGGACUUGCUCAAGAUCACAGGGCAACUCAGAGGCAGAGCUAGGGUUAGACCAAGGCCGCCUGCCUCCAAGGCCAAGUCACUUUCCCAUUUACAUUUCCACUCUAUCUGCCUUGGGAAAAGGAAAUAACUCCAGAGGGAAUUGGAAUACUUUGUUCACUGAAUCAGUUAGAAUGCAAGUAAGAGAAUACCUGAUUUAGAGGCUUAAACCUUUUGUUUCCUUAACAAGGGUGGGGGGGAAGGUAGGUCCAGGUUUGUCUGGUGACUCAACCAUGUUUAAUGAUCAAGGCUUUUCCAAUUCUAAGCUCUGAGAGGGACUCCUCUGUGAUCACAAAAUGGCUGAUAUGGCACCAAGCACCAUGUCCUCCCAAGCAGGAAGAAAGGGAAUGGGAGCAUAAAAGUUCUUCUUCUCUCAUGCCUGUGUCAUCCAGGAGGAGAUUUUUCCAAGCGGAUCAUCCCCUUACAUCUUAUUGACCAAAAUGAAGCCACAUGUCUACUCUUAGACUACUCACUGGUGAAGAGGAAGGCAUUUCCAUGAAUGGUUUGGAUUAUCCCUGUGGCUAGGUACCUUGCUCCUAAAACAAGGAAAGGGAAUUGGCUAUAGGAAGGCAACCAGUAGUUCUUGCCAUACUUAACUCUGUCUCCUCUCUGGAUUGGCCUCUCCUGUCCUUUUCACCUCUGCUAGGGAGCCUGCCCUGGUUUCCACCCUUGUCCAGCACACCCUCUUCUACCACAUAAUUGAGCAUCACCCAAUUCAAGUCUACUUUGCCAAGCUCUUUCAUCUGUUCAUGUUCAAGUCUUGUUGUCCCACGCAGUCUGUGAGCAUUGGGAAACUAACAGCAGCUACUAAUGAAUAAUUGUGUGCCAGACACUCCUCUACUAACGAAUAAUUGUGUAACCCGCUUCCAAUGGCUGGUUCCAAUGCUCCAUAUCUGCUGGUGUUUACAACUUUUGUGUUCCCCUCCCACAUUGUACCAGGGUUAGUCUGUGUGACCAAUAGAAUAUGAAAAAGUUAUGGCAUAUCACUUCCAAGAUUGUAUUAGAAAAUACACCAUGGCUUCCAUCUUGGUAGCACACAUUCUUUUGGAUCAUUCAUUCCAGGGGAAGUUAGCCACCAUGGCAAGAGUACCCUUAUGGAGAGGCUUGCGUAAAAACUAAACCCUUUGACCAACUGCCAGCAAAAAAUGGUUGCCUGACAACAACCACAGAGUGAGCCUGGAAGUGGAUCCCCGUUAAGCCUUCUGAUGACUGCAGCCCUGGCUGACACUUGACUGCAACCUCAUGAGAGAUCCUGAGCCACAAUCUCACAGUCAGUCCACUUCUGGGUUCUCAAUCCUCAGAAAUUGUGU